rnacentral:sRNA from 1 species
ACCUAAACCCGAUAAAGUGGAAAACCCGAAUCCCGAUUUUAAACGGGAGAGGAUUUGAAACGAUAGCGGGAACACAC